rnacentral:rRNA from 1 species
AAAUUGAAGAGUUUGAUCAUGGCUCAGAUUGAACGCUGGCGGCAGGCCUAACACAUGCAAGUCGAGCGGAAACGAGUUAACUGAACCUUCGGGGAACGUUAACGGCGUCGAGCGGCGGACGGGUGAGUAAUGCCUAGGAAAUUGCCCUGAUGUGGGGGAUAACCAUUGGAAACGAUGGCUAAUACCGCAUAAUGCCUUCGGGCCAAAGAGGGGGACCUUCGGGCCUCUCGCGUCAGGAUAUGCCUAGGUGGGAUUAGCUAGUUGGUGAGGUAAGGGCUCACCAAGGCGACGAUCCCUAGCUGGUCUGAGAGGAUGAUCAGCCACACUGGAACUGAGACACGGUCCAGACUCCUACGGGAGGCAGCAGUGGGGAAUAUUGCACAAUGGGCGCAAGCCUGAUGCAGCCAUGCCGCGUGUAUGAAGAAGGCCUUCGGGUUGUAAAGUACUUUCAGCAGUGAGGAAGGUGGUGUAGUUAAUAACUGCAUCAUUUGACGUUAGCUGCAGAAGAAGCACCGGCUAACUCCGUGCCAGCAGCCGCGGUAAUACGGAGGGUGCGAGCGUUAAUCGGAAUUACUGGGCGUAAAGCGCAUGCAGGUGGUUUGUUAAGUCAGAUGUGAAAGCCCGGGGCUCAACCUCGGAAUUGCAUUUGAAACUGGCAGACUAGAGUACUGUAGAGGGGGGUAGAAUUUCAGGUGUAGCGGUGAAAUGCGUAGAGAUCUGAAGGAAUACCGGUGGCGAAGGCGGCCCCCUGGACAGAUACUGACACUCAGAUGCGAAAGCGUGGGGAGCAAACAGGAUUAGAUACCCUGGUAGUCCACGCCGUAAACGAUGUCUAUUGGAGGUUGUGGCCUUGAGCCGUGGCUUUCGGAGCUAACGCGUUAAGUAGACCGCCUGGGGAGUACGGUCGCAAGAUUAAAACUCAAAUGAAUUGACGGGGGCCCGCACAAGCGGUGGAGCAUGUGGUUUAAUUCGAUGCAACGCGAAGAACCUUACCUACUCUUGACAUCCAGAGAAGCCAGUAGAGAUACAGGUGUGCCUUCGGGAGCUCUGAGACAGGUGCUGCAUGGCUGUCGUCAGCUCGUGUUGUGAAAUGUUGGGUUAAGUCCCGCAACGAGCGCAACCCUUAUCCUUGUUUGCCAGCGAGUAAUGUCGGGAACUCCAGGGAGACUGCCGGUGAUAAACCGGAGGAAGGUGGGGACGACGUCAAGUCAUCAUGGCCCUUACGAGUAGGGCUACACACGUGCUACAAUGGCGCAUACAGAGGGCAGCAAGCUAGCGAUAGUGAGCGAAUCCCAAAAAGUGCGUCGUAGUCCGGAUUGGAGUCUGCAACUCGACUCCAUGAAGUCGGAAUCGCUAGUAAUCGUGGAUCAGAAUGCCACGGUGAAUACGUUCCCGGGCCUUGUACACACCGCCCGUCACACCAUGGGAGUGGGCUGCAAAAGAAGUAGGUAGUUUAACCUUCGGGAGAACGCUUACCACUUUGUGGUUCAUGACUGGGGUGAAGUCGUAACAAGGUAGCCCUAGGGGAACCUGGGGCUGGAUCACCUCCUUAUACGAUGAU